AAUUGCAUUUUAUUUAUGCAAUCCUUUAUGUCCUCUCCAGCACCCAGGGCCUUGCCUGGCAAUUAGCUGAAACUCAGAUGGCAGUGCCCAGCGACCCUCAGCUCUGACAAUGGCCCUGCCCAGAUGGGCUCCCUGUCCAAACACCACAUUUGGUAUAAAGGCUAUCACAAUUGCAGAGUAUUGAGUACAGAAACCUGUAAUCUAGGGAAGAAUUCAGCCAGAGCAGUUCCUCCUACACCGGGAACAGAGCCUACAGCAAGCAGUGUGGAGACCUUGGUGCUCCAAGAAGGCCUGGCCUCUGGGGCUGCUGCUGAGAAGGUAUCUGUGGGCCUUGGGGCGGACUUGGGGCAGGUGAAGCCUACACAAGAGGAAGGACCACCCCAACUUGUUAGUGAACAGAGGGGAGAACUGAAGACAAACCUCCCUGCCUUUGCUUAGGCCCAGGACUGAAGAAAAUUAAUCGAUGUGUAGUUGAAUGCCACCACUUUACAAGAUAUGGGAGGAGAAGGCCAUGUGACUUGAUAGGAAAAUCGACUUCGUAGAGCCACACAAAUUAACCAAAGACUUUCUCCAGGGAAAGAUCUUUGGGCUGCCGUAAUGAAUCACGUUCGACUCUAAAUUGCAGAGGAGUGGUCUUUGGGAUGCAUAUAGGAAAUUAUUUUGUAAAGAGACAGAAUCCAGGGUUAGAAUCUGAGAGGUGCAGCAGGAGUCAGAGUGGAGACUUGGUGGCUCUAAGGUAGCACAGAAGGAGUCAUUAUGUGAUGGAAGGGCAGUGCCCACUCUCAUAAACCUGGGCUGGAAGUGUGGGUCUCUGUUGAGCAGGUGUACUGCUCACAAAGCCCCCCAGGGGCGUGUGGCCUUGUGCCACUCUCCUUUGUGUAGCUCUUUAAGGAAUUCCAGUGGCUAGGAUAUUUUUUUUUUAACUUUGGUUUUUUGGAAGUAUUUGUGGGUUUCCGGAGAGGAUGCCUGUCCUUCCAUGUUGGUGCAAUAGAGAGGCAUGAGUGUGACUCCCAAAGCAGCUGGAUGGAGCCGUGGUAGAGGCUCCCCAGCUCCGGAUUUGAGAAGACCCAGCAGGGCUGGGAGAAGUGCUGCACAGGAGGCUGAGGGUUUCAUUAGUAUUUACCUAAUGUCAUCUUCCUGUUUGAGGACCCCAUCUGGGAUACCACAGCACAUUUGGUCAUGUCUCCUGAGGCUCCUCUUGGCUGAAUUCAGGAAAGAACUUGAGUUCUACUUUUGCAGUGAAGAACAGAGAACACCUGCAGAAGCUGAGAAUGAAAUGAGCCCACCAGGACUUAGCAACCGUCUUGCUGAGGUUUGGAUUUUGACAGGGUGUGAAUGGUGGUUGGAGAUAAGCUUAUCUGGUUUUCCAGGGGCCAGGAGACCACAGCUAGGUUAGCAUCUGCAUUGCACAUGUUAUAGUAAGGAUGCCUGUUUGCUAUCAAAUUACUCUAACAGCAUUAUUUCCUUUGACUCUAUUUAACAGUCAUGUGAAGCAAACCCUUUCUGUAGAUUGUGCAAAUUUAACUCAAUCUGCAUUGGGCUGGACAUUGUGAUAAAUUACUAGGGAUCUACUUGAAUGACACUUUACAUGCAAACUUUAUUUUUACAUUUUAAUAUAUUCAAACUUAUAUGGUUAGGAGAGGAGUGUGACAGCUUCAAAAAUAGAAGAAAAAUCAUUAAAUGUUGACUGGUAGAGCUGGAAGAGAUCUCAGCAACUACUUUAUAGAUGAGGAAACUAAGACAUAGAGAAGUGGAUAACUUUCCAACAUCAUACAGCCUUUGAACAGUAGAUUCAUUGGAAUAAUUAAAACAGAAGGUCUUCUUUCCCUGCUAGGGGGAUUUCUGCCAUGAACCACUCCUCCUGUAGUACUCAAAGGUCUAACUUGGCUAUGGAAAAGCCUCUAUCUCAGGAAUGUUUAUGUCUUUGGAUCCUUUCCUCUCUUUUACAAAAGAACCCUGGAGAAAAUAAAAAAAAAAGGUCCACAUGGUUAUAAAACACUGAACUUCAGCUUUUUCUGAAGCCACCCUCUUGUCCAAAUUUUGGGGACUUUACGUGGAUGGGAGCAAGCAGUUUAUCUGGGCUUUUUCCUACUUCCUACCUCUCCCAGGACUGGGAGAGUCAACUGAAAACCAAUCAAUAUAUGUUUCAUUUUUGUUUUCUGUAUAAAUAGUUGUCUUAUCUGAAAUGACCUUUUUCCAAGAGCUAAUAGCCAUAAAUUUUUGCAGCUGGACAUGUUUAGAAAUGCCUCUUAGCUAUUUUUGUUGAUUUAUUUUCUUUGUCUGUAUUUGUGCAAUCCAGCUUUGGGCAUAGAAGCAAGCAGCUCUGGUUUCUGGUCCUCUACCUCUAAUGAUUUAAAUUCAGGGGACGUAGUUCUUUUUCUAUAGGAAUGGCCCCGUAUGGGAUUCCAUGGAGUCAUAGCUCAGCCCAGGAGUUAUUAUUCUAUCUUGGAGACUCAUGUUGAAUUCUUUUUGUGGCAACUAUUUCUGCAUUUUCUGCAUUUCUUUCUGAGUCUGCUUUGAAAUGUUUUUAUCUAUCUAUCUAUCUGCCUACCUACCUACUUCCAAUUUCGAUGUCCAAUAAUAUGGUGAUUAUAUAUUAUAGAGUAUUAACUCACUGGCAUAUUAAGUGACCACAAUAAAUGCAAAUGAAAAUAUCAUCUGCUGUGUAGCUCCAUGGAACAGCACAUCUGAAACAUAUUAAGUGACCAUUCCGUAUAUUUAAUUAUAGUCUGAAAAAUUUAUGUAACAUGUGGAUAAAGUUUAGACAUUUUCUCAAAAAGAAGUAAGUGAACUAGAAGUUCUUAAUGGCCUAAUAUGUGCUGGAUUUAUCUCAUUUAACCCUUAGAACAGUCCUGUAAAUUAAGCGUCAUUACCUCCAUCUGAAGAUGUAGAACCUGAGUCUCAAUGGAUCAAAUAACUUGUCUAAAGUCACACAGCUAAUAUUAAUAUAAAGGUACAGCCAGAGUUCUAGGUUGGUCCAAAAGCUGGAAUCUCUGCUCUUUUCAUUAUGCCGUGCUACGUUUAGAGAAAUCUAAGCAAUGAUAGACUUAUGUAAAGGGCUUAGAAUUGUAGCAUUUUGGGUUAAAAAUAAAAAUAAAAGUAAAUAUAAAAAUAUUUUUGUCCCCCUUCAUCUUCACUGUAUUAAUAAUUUCUGAGUUGGAGCAAAGGACACAUGACUGACACAAUAGAGAGAAAUCAUCAUUCCUCUCUGUCCUUUUGCUUCUAGAACAACGUUGUUACCUCUCUGUCUCUGGAUAUCCAUUUUCCAGGCCACAAUAUGUAUGUUCUGAGGUCUAAAGUCAAAAGGAUGCCAAGAAAAUAAGGCAAUCGCUUAAGCCCAGAAUGUAAGACUAAGCAAUAAAACAAUCAGAAUUAUCUGACUUAUAAGCAGGGCUAAACUUAGAUGAAAUUUAGAAAUAGAAAUAAAAGUUGAUCUUUUUCUUCUCAAGCCUCCAGUAUGCUUUCCCUUCUCUUUUAUAC
rnacentral:lncRNA from 1 species